rnacentral:lncRNA from 1 species
AAAUAACAAAAUUUGAAAUUAGUUAUGAUUUGAGAAAUUCAGAAUGAGGCUCCAACUAACAAACAUAUAUAUAUAAUUAAAAGACAAACUAAAUAAUUAAAAGAGUUUAUUUAAUUGUACUCAUAGGUACAAUAGCAGAUACAGAUACACUUUUUUAUUCCAUAAAAUGAUAAUAUACUAAUUAUCAUUUUGAGGUGGAAGUGCGGCGGGGGUAGUGGCAGCGGCAGGAGGGCAGGGGGGAGCUUUGCAGUGGCAAUGGCCUGUGCAUUGAGGUUGAGAAGUCAGACCUCUAGCAGAGGCUUGAACCUCCAUGGGUUCGGUAGCAGAAACAAGUAAAAGAAUUAAAACACAGAUUGCAAUUCCAGUUUUCAUUUUUGUUUCAAGUAAGAUGUAUGUGAUGGAUUG